UGGUGUUUGCCGGGUGAGGAUGUGCGUC
rnacentral:piRNA from 1 species